ACUGACGCUGAGGUACGAAAGCAUGGGGAGCAAACAGGAUUAGAUACCCUGGUAGUCCAUGCCGUAAACGAUGUCUACUAGCCGUUGGGGCCUUUGAGGCUUUAGUGGCGCAGCUAACGCGAUAAGUAGACCGCCUGGGGAGUACGGUCGCAAGACUAAAACUCAAAUGAAUUGACGGGGGCCCGCACAAGCGGUGGAGCAUGUGGUUUAAUUCGAUGCAACGCGAAGAACCUUACCUGGCCUUGACAUACUAGAAACUUUCCAGAGAUGGAUUGGUGCCUUCGGGAAUCUAGAUACAGGUGCUGCAUGGCUGUCGUCAGCUCGUGUCGUGAGAUGUUGGGUUAAGUCCCGCAACGAGCGCAACCCUUUUCCUUACUUGCCAGCAUUUCGGAUGGGAACUUUAAGGAUACUGCCAGUGACAAACUGGAGGAAGGCGGGGACGACGUCAAGUCAUCAUGGCCCUUACGGCCAGGGCUACACACGUGCUACAAUGGUCGGUACAAAGGGUUGCU
rnacentral:rRNA from 1 species